CAGCAGCCGCGGUAAAACAGAGGGUGCGAGCGUUAAUCGGAUUUACUGGGCGUAAAGCGUGCGUAGGCGGCUUUUUAAGUCGGAUGUGAAAUCCCUGAGCUUAACUUAGGAAUUGCAUUCGAUACUGGGAAGCUAGAGUAUGGGAGAGGAUGGUAGAAUUCCAGGUGUAGCGGUGAAAUGCGUAGAGAUCUGGAGGAAUACCGAUGGCGAAGGCAGCCAUCUGGCCUAAUACUGACGCUGAGGUACGAAAGCAUGGGGAGCAAACAGGAUUAGAUACCCCUGUAGUCCCUGUCUCUUAUAA
rnacentral:rRNA from 1 species